CUCUCGGUCUCUCUCACUGUAUAAUCUCUUUCUCUCUCUCUCUCUCUCUCUCUACACACACUCUCUCUAUCUCCUGCUUUCCUCUAUGUAAGUUCAUCUUCGAUCUCUUGAUAUCAUUGGAUUUUUUCGAAAUUGAGGAUUCCGAUCGUGUUUGUUGCGGAGGAACUUUCGCGAUGAGAAGAAGCGAUCAACCGAAGAUUUCUCGAGCUUCCCAUACAUAUGUAUGGUGCUGAAUGCGUCGCAGUGGAGUUACUACAGAAUCAUCAAACCAGAUGCAUUGCUUAUCCCUGCCGUCAAUGGAUCCGACAUCGUUAUUUCCAUCUUCUAUCUCUCUCUCUAUCUCGUAUUUGCUCCUCCGAAGGCUAGGGGAUUGUGGCGGCGGCGAUAUGGGUGAGUAGGUGGGAAUUGGAGGGAGAAUUGAGCAUCAGUUUUACUGGGAGUUGGCGUGGCGUCGAUGGUGUCGGUGGUUAUGGCCAGUGCAUCGAAAGAGUGCAACAAGAGCUGGUUUGGUAAAUCCAAAUAUAAAUUAAAGAUACGAUUAAGAUUAUAAUUUUGUAAUUAAAUGUUUUCAACGAAAGAGCGCAACAAGAGCGGAUUUGGUCAUUUUAUUUUCAUUUUAAUCGAGAAAGAAAGAUCUUGUUAGCAUAUAUUUUCCUUUGCAUAAUAGUGUUAUUUUUCUUUAAUCGAGAAAGAAAUAAAGAAAGAUCUAUGUCGCAUUGUAUUUCA